AGAUUCCAGCCUCAGCAUUCCCAGAGAAGGCCCAGGAUCUCCCUGAGAGGCCCAGUUGGUGUUUGUGGAAUCAUCACUCCUCUGGUGAUCACGCAGUUUGCCUCACUUUCUCCAUGGAGCUCUUUGCUAAAGGACAUUCUCCUCCAGCUGUGAAGGAAAAGCCCAACAAAAGGCAGGGUACUUUGUUCUAACUGAGGAUGUCUACUGACACAGCCAAGCUGUAAAGCAGACCACGGACGGCAGUGCAGCGGGGAGAACAACUCUACAUCUGGUUGGAGGUGGAGUAAUGUCCAGUCUGGGCACAGAGAGAUGGCAGGUGUGCAGCUGCACUCAGCAUGGGAUAGAGCACCACCUGCCAGGCCAGAACAGAAAGAAGGGCGACGGAGACUGGCAGAGAAACAGCAAUUACUGCUCAGUGAGAAGUAAACAGCGUCUGCUUCCAGAGGCUUUACGGACCAGAAAGCCCACAGGAAAUAGCUCCUGCUUCCCAGCCUGGAGGUCCUCAUGCACUAGCCCUCCCUGCUACAAUUUUGAUGGUUUUUCGCAUAUUUACAGAAUUGUGCAACCAUCACCAUGAUCAGUCUUAGAAGAGUUAAUCACCCCUGACCCCAGAAAACUCUGUAUUCAUUAGCAGUCACUCCCUUUCCCCUUUCCACCCCUCUCCAACAUUAGGCAACCACUAAUCUACUCUCUGUCUCCAUAAACUGGUCUAUUUUGGACAUUUCACAUAAGCCUCCCUGGAUCCCAGUUUAAGCAUCCUGGGGUUUGUCUGCCUGCCAGAGCCAUGGUGCCACUGGGGCUACCUGUCCUGUGGGAUGACAAGGCAGGUCCAAACCUUUGCCUGCUCUCCCAUCCAUUCCUUUUGUGUUAGUCCAUGUGUCUCCCGACUGUUCUCUCCAACAACAACACAGACUGACAAAACCUACUGACUUGGAGUCAGGAACAGACUUUGCUAUUUUCUGGCUGUGUGAUCCUGAUGAGUCCCUUGAACCUCCUGGACUUGUUCCUCAGCCUAAAAACCAAGACUAAUAAAUCAAGUCUAUCUCACAGCCUUACGUGGGGAUCAAAAAACAUGGAGCAUGUGAACACACAUUGUACAUCACGAAGCUGUAUGCAAAUAAAUAUCGUGUAACUCCAGCCCUUUUUGAGUUUAUAAAUAAAAGUGAAAACCUCAUAACCCU
rnacentral:lncRNA from 1 species